rnacentral:rRNA from 1 species
GACGAACGCUGGCGGCGUGCCUAAUACAUGCAAGUUGAGCGCUGAAGGUUGGUACUUGUACCAACUGGAUGAGCAGCGAACGGGUGAGUAACGCGUGGGGAAUCUGCCUUUGAGCGGGGGACAACAUUUGGAAACGAAUGCUAAUACCGCAUAAAAACUUUAAACCAAAUUUUUAAUUUUGAAAAAUCCAAUUCCUUCCCUCAAGGAUGUUCCCCCGUUGUAUUAGCUAGUUGGUGAGGUAAAGGCUCACCAAGGCGAUGAUACAUAGCCGACCUGAGAGGGUGAUCGGCCACAUUGGGACUGAGACACGGCCCAAACUCCUACGGGAGGCAGCAGUAGGGAAUCUUCGGCAAUGGACGAAAGUCUGACCGAGCAACGCCGCGUGAGUGAAGAAGGUUUUCGGAUCGUAAAACUCUGUUGGUAGAGAAGAACGUUGGUGAGAGUGGAAAGCUCAUCAAGUGACGGUAACUACCCAGAAAGGGACGGCUAACUACGUG